UACGAAGGGGGCUAGCGUUGCUCGGAAUUACUGGGCGUAAAGCGCACGUAGGCGGCUUUCUAAGUCGGGGGUGAAAUCCUGGAGCUCAACUCCAGAACUGCCUUCGAUACUGGAAAGCUCGAGUCCGGGAGAGGUGAGUGGAACUGCGAGUGUAGAGGUGAAAUUCGUAGAUAUUCGCAAGAACACCAGUGGCGAAGGCGGCUCACUGGCCCGGUACUGACGCUGAGGAGCGAAAGCGUGGGGAGCAAACAGG
rnacentral:rRNA from 1 species